rnacentral:lncRNA from 1 species
UGGGAGAGAAAAGCAUACAACAUAGACAGGGAGGUCAAGCUCCACCACGCAAAUGAGCUGCAGGCCACCGGGCUUCCUCUGCCACAUCUCCUUCUGAAAAGGACUUCACAUUCACCCUUGCAAUCCAUGCGGGGACACUGUUGGAUAGGAGGCGUGGUCCCAGAGUGGUCUCCCUGUCUGGGCCUCUGCGUAUGCCAAAUGUUUGCCUCACGCUGCACACUCAAGAGGUUCCAUGUAUACAGAUGGGAAUUCCAGAGCUACAGAAAAGGCAGCAAGCACCAUGAUUCAAGCUAAUCAGUGUGGAUUCACACCUUCCUCUCUCUCUCUCAGUGGCAGAACUACCAGCUAGAGUAAGAAGUGGUUGAUCCAGGACCUGAACAUUCUGGAAACUCUUGCCCACUUCUGGGAGAAAUGACCCAAUCCAUAGUACUAGGCACACCUUAACUUUCGUAGGACCCAGGCAAGUUGUCAUACCAUGUACCUAAAUAUUGAAAAAUGAUCCACUGGACUAAUAAACUGUUAAAU